AUGCUCCGCCGCCUACCCGUUGCCGUGGCCGUCGCGGCCGCGGGCCUCCGCCGCUCCCUCUGCACGGCGCGCUCCCGCUCGCGCCCGCCGUGGGCCCUGAUCCAGUGCGCGUCGGUCGACGAGUCCGGGGCGCCGGCGCCGGCCGUGUCCUUCCGCGCCGGCGAAGCCCCGUCCGUCACCGGCCUCACCUUCCGCGCCCACCUCGUCCACCCGCGCCGCCCCGGGGCCGGCGACGGCGGGUUCGUCUCGGGCCAGGUCGCCGCCGCCAGCGGCGACGGCCUCCUCCUCGUGCGCUUCUGCCACGCCCGCCUCGACGCCCACGCCCUCGUCUGCAACCUCUCCUGGGCCGGCACGGACGCGGACCCGGAGGUGGUCCGCUUCGUCUGCAACCCGCUCACCGGCGAGCUCUACCGCCUCCCGGACCUCGACGGCACCAAGAGGACCUCCGCCUGCCGCCACCUCGGCCUCCUCACCCAGUCCCAGGCCGGCGACGGGCCGCCUGAGAGGUACGCGGUGGCCGAGAUGUUUACUGAUGACGGAGGCCCGGAGGAGGAGGGGGACGGGGGCUUCGUCAUGCGCCGGUUUCUCUCGGAGACGGGGAAGUGGGACAAGGUGGCGGGCUUGCCGUCCCCGCUGCCCGCUGGGCGGAAGAUGGACAUCGACAACGCCGUGGUGGCCUUCGGCGACCGCCUGUGGUGGAUCGACGACAGCUGGGGUGCCAUCUCGGUCGACCCCCUCAGCGACCGUCCGGAGCUCCGCUUCGUCGAGCUGCCGAGAGGCAGCGUGCUCCCUCACCUGGACGGCAUGGCGUCGACGAGGACAUCGGGCAGCCACCGGCGCAUGGGGGUCAGCGAGGGGAAGAUGCGCUACGUCGAGGUGUCCAAGGAGAAGCCAUAUGUGAUCAGCUUGUUCUCGCUGGACGACGGGGACAGCUCCUGGACGCUGGACCAUGAGACGGCGUUUGCUCCGAUUUGGGAUGAUGCACUCCUCUGUUCGGCACCCUUGGAGCAAAUGCUGGCAAUUGGCGCCAUCAACCCACUGAAAGCCAACAUCGUGUACCUUGCCUGCGGCGACAAAAUUCUUGGCGUCGAUGUGGUUACUAAGAAGAUAACUGGGAUUUCUGGUCUAGCUAUAGCAGUACCAGAUCAUCCCCUACUACCAUGUGUGCUUCCAACCUGGCUGGAAUCAAGCCAAAUUCCAUCUGCAGGUUGGAGCAAGAAAAACACCCUUAAAAGUGAGGUAUCGCCAAACACUGUCAAAAGGGAGAAUUUGCAUGUCGAAAUAGAACUGUUGAAAUGA
rnacentral:rRNA from 1 species